rnacentral:rRNA from 1 species
AUUGAACGCUGGCGGCAGGCCUAACACAUGCAAGUCGAGCGAGCGGCGGACGGGUGAGAAAUGUAUGGGGACUGCCCGCUAGAGGGGGAUAACUACUGGAAACGGUGGCUAAUACCGCAUACUAUCGGAUAACCCAUAUGGGAUUAGCUAGUAGGUGGGGUAAAGGCUCACCGAGGCGACGAUCUCUAGCUGGGCUGAGGGGAUGAUCAGCCACACUGGGACUUGGACACGGCCCAGACUCCUACGGAGGCAGCAGUGGGGAACAUGGCGCAAUGGGCGCAAGCCUGAUGCAGCCAUGCCGCGUGUAUGAAGAAGGCCUUAGGGGUGUAAAGUACUUUCAGGGGUGAGGCGGUACCCGCAGAAGAAGCACCGGCUAACUCCGUGCCAGCAGCCGCGGUAAUUC